GUUGAACGCUGGCGGCAGGCUUAACACAUGCAAGUCGAGCGGUAACAUUUCUAGCUCGCUAGAAGAUGACGAGCGGCGGACGGGUGAGUAAUGCUUGGGAAUAUGCCUUUGAGUGGGGACAACAGUUGGAAACGACUGCUAAUACCGCAUAACGUCUACGGACCAAAGGGGGGGAUCUUCGGACCUCUCGCUCAUAGAUUAGCCCAAGUGAGAUUAGCUAGUUGGUAAGGUAAUGGCUUACCAAGGCGACGAUCUCUAGCUGGUUUGAGAGGAUGAUCAGCCACACUGGGACUGAGACACGGCCCAG
rnacentral:rRNA from 1 species